CAGAAUUCUAAACUAAACUAUUUUCU
rnacentral:tRNA from 1 species